GGCCCAAGAGCGGAGGUAGAGGGAACGACGCAUGCUUGAGAAAUGGCGGGAAACAGAGGAGGCUCGAGGCUUGCUCACACGCACACAGCCAACUGCUUCUGGACCGCCUUGCUCACACGCACACAGCCAACUGCUUCUGGACCGCCUGAAAGGCAACCUCGCCCGCCGCGGUGGUGUGGGGCGGGCAUCCCUUGAGACUGUGCUCUGGAGGCCUGGAGAAACAGCUUUCUAUCCUCAGCACUGGGGAGAGCAGGCCUCAAUCCCUGCCUUUGCCUGCCGCCCCUCUUCCUUCCCUCUCAAAGCAUACCCAGCAGCCCCGGCGCUGAGAAACGCGUUACUCUCUUAUCAGCUGUGGGAGAGACAAGACAGACUGGCCUCUGGGCGGAGGGGCCGCCAUUGCCUGCCCUCUGGACCAGGGCCUCACAGAUACCCUCAGCUUCAGGAUUAGGGCUGCGUUGGUUUUUCCCCCCACAUCAGGGGACUUCAACAAGUAACCUCCAGUUCCAUAGAUAAAACUUGUAUUCCCCCCUUCUCCAUGGCAGGGGUUUUGAGCCUAGAGAAGGAAGAUCGGAGCUUCCUGGGGCUCCUGUGAAGCAGGCAGGGGGCAGCACUGGGCCCCGGGAAGAGGCGGAGAAGGCGAGGGAGUGCCUGCGGUGAGCCCAGAGCCUUGGGCCCGUUAUCCUCUGAUGCUGCUCCCCCAACUUUCCUGCCGUCAGUCCCUGACCUUGCCUGAGACCUUGGCGGCUCCCGCACCUCUCUCCCGGCUCCUCCUUGCUGAGAACACAACCCGCAAGGCCCUUCCGCCUGGCUGGACUGAGUCCCCUAUGGAGGCAGCCUGGCAGGGAGCAGGUAUCUUCCUGGCAGAAGAGGACAGACCUGGUAAACUGAGAGACUGUUGAUGCCCCAAUGUUCUGCCUAGCCUGCCUGGAAACUCCAGAAGGAUACAGCAAGAAAGCAGCAUCUGCAAGAAAGCCCUCACCAGGACCAAAUCAGCUGACACCUCAACCUUGGACUACCCAGCUUCCCGAACUGUGAGGUAUAGAUUUUUAUUGUUUAAGUCACCAAGGCUACGGUGUUUUUAAUAGCAGCCCAAGCCCAGGAAUACAUCAUCUGACUCACUAUUUUGAAUCAAACUCUUCAGUUUCUCCAUCAACUUAGCUGGCAGCUCCUGUCCCCAGCAGCAUCAGAGGCCCCAUGAAAAGAGCUCCAGCAGGGGCUCAGCCUGCAUGGGUCCCAUGCGGCAGCCUCAGUGUCAGAGCCUGGAUGGCAGGUGAGGCUCCAGUGACACAACCACAAUGUGAAAGUGUAAGAGUUUUUAACUACUUAUAGAUACUGGAAAGCACAGGGCACACCUGGAGACCACAGACACUGGGGUCAGAGAGCCCAGGCAGGGAGGAGAGAAGGGAACUGUAGGCCAAUGGCUUUAUUGGGUCUAGGGUGUUAUUGACAGGUUUCCAGAAGGGAGCUUUAAUGGGUGUGUUUAAAGCAGGCAAACACUGGGGCAAGAAGAUCACACUGUGACUGAGAGGUGGUCACUUUAAAUUGGAGGGCGAAUGUCACAACUGUUUCAGUUUAAAGGAAGCAGCUGGCGAGAGGGGAGCCCAGCACACUAUGCAAGAGAGAUGCCUCUAAGAUUUUAUCUGUGGCCACCGACUGGAGCCAUUUGGACCGGGUACAGCAGUGGAAACUCUGUGAUGGUGACAAACAUGGGAAUCACUCUGAUGUGACGCAGUUAAAUUUACACCUUAAAAAAUGGAUGCCAAGACAACAUAAACAAGACCCAGGGACACCAACAGGGUAUGGUGCUGUGCCCCAGAGUCAGGGUCCUGGGUUCUUACCCAGGGAAGUGAGAAAUAAAGAUAACUUUUCCCUG
rnacentral:lncRNA from 1 species